rnacentral:rRNA from 1 species
UACGUAGGGUGCAAGCGUUAAUCGGAAUUACUGGGCGUAAAGCGUGCGCAGGCGGUUGUGCAAGACAGAUGUGAAAUCCCCGGGCUUAACCUGGGAAUUGCAUUUGUGACUGCACGGCUAGAAUGUGUCAGAGGGGGGUAGAAUUCCACGUGUAGCAGUGAAAUGCGUAGAUAUGUGGAGGAAUACCGAUGGCGAAGGCAGCCCCCUGGGAUAACACUGACGCUCAUGCACGAAAGCGUGGGGAGCAAACAGG